AGGUAGUUGAGAAGGCUGUGGCAGUACAAAUGCAGAAGCAUCUGGACACAGCUAGCUGCGAGAAUUAAUGUGAAUUGCAGGACACAUUGAUCAUCGACACUUCAAACGCACUUGCGGCCCCGAGUUCCUCCCGGGGCUACGCCUGUCUGAGCGUCG
rnacentral:rRNA from 1 species